GACAGAUCCUGCUCCUCUCAAUCCAAUCCUGUAGAUUUCUUCAGUUACCUCAACAGGGUCAUACUGGCUCCUGAAAUGGGCACCAUUAUUUAAAAGAAAUAGAGGUACAGAGUCCUCAAGAUUUAUGGGCACCUGAGUUUCUGCCCCGUGCCCCGCUGCAGGUUUCCCAAUCCCCUAAAGACAUUCAUGGAUGGGUGAGAGGAGCUGACACCUCCCGCUCUGUGACCACUUUCUCUUUGGCCAUGGAGGAAGUCUUGCUGCCCCUGGCUGUGACAUCUGACCCCAGGCCCUUUAAUCAACAACUCCCAGAGCCUCCAGACCCAAGAUGUGUUUUGGAACCCCAGGACAAUCCUGAACUGGCACUUGCCCUGGCUACUGCUGCUUCAAGACAGUGACGUUUCUCUCCGGUCAGCUGUCAGGAGCGCUGGUGAGCUUCCUACUGUGCCACAAGGUGCGGGUGCUGGAGACACAGCUGAGCCUGGAAAUGAGAGUGGGCAUCGCCGUGGUCAUCAUGACUCCUCUGCGGCGUGGUCACCAUGUUGGUUCACUGUGUUGGGCUCUUAUUGACGGGUCUCCUGCUAGGCCUGACCUUGGGUGCCGGAGCCCUGCUGGCUUCUGAGCCUAUCUACCAACCACCUUCAGCCUGGGUGCCAGCUGGGGGGCUGGUGGGGCUGGCGCUGCUGGGAGCCCUGCUCACACUUCGGUGGCCACGUCCAUUCACAGUUCUGGGCACAACCCUGCUGGGUUCUGCAGUGCUUGUGGCCUGUGUUGACUACUUCCUGGAGGGGCUGGCACUGGGGAGUUGGCUGGGCCAACGCCUGCAGACACUUCCAGCCUUGCCUUCUCUCUGCUGAUAUAGCUGGGUCUUACUGGGGAUCUGGCCAGCCUUGGGGGCCCUUGGAGCCCUGGCCCAGUGGAAGCUCGUGCCUGAGGAACAUGGAGGCCACGCUAAUGAGUUACUUCCAGAGUCUUCAAGAGUGCCAACUGGGACCAGGACCCCAGACCACAGCCCCCCACACCGUCCUGGACCUGGAUUCUGACUGUGGUUCCACUGUACCCCUCACCUUAAUCUCUGGUUCUAACCAGACCUGAGCCUAGACUUCCACUUUUUCCCUUACCCCUGUGAGGGCCUGGGAACACUAGGUGGGCAGGGUUUGAGCCCACAGGACCUGCACACAAACUUCCCCACCUCUUGGACUUGGGGACAGGAUCUGUGCCUCAACCCAGACCAGCUUUGUAGGGAUAUGUUCCAAGAACAGAGAAGAGUCUUAUGGGGAAGGGGGAGGAAGGGAAGUAUGAAUAUUUACCUCUGACCAAUAAUAGAGGUGCCCUGGUCCCCAAAGAAAUUGACUCCCGAAUUCCCUCCAAGCCUUACCCAUAUAGCUUUUGUUUGUUUGUUUGUUUUCAGACAAGGUCUUGUUCUGUCCAGUGCCGUGGCGUGACCACAGCUCAUGACAACUUUGAUUUCCCCGGCCCAAGCGAGCCUCUCAUUCAGCCUCCUGAGUGGCUGGGACCACAGACGCCACACACAGCUAAUUUUUAUGUAUUCGUUUUUAUUUUUUUGCAGAGACAGGGUCUCCCUAUGUUGCCCAAGCUGGUCUUGAACUCCUGGGCUCAAGUGAUCCUCCUGCUUCAGCCUCCCAAAGUGCUAGGAUUAUAGCCACCGCACCUCGUCUUGAAAUAGCCUUUUAAAUGUUCACCUCAGCUUGCCUCACAGUGGUAAAAAUAAGCAUUUUUUUGUUUUGUAGGAUCAGGGAGCUUCCAAGGCAUUUGAUACCUUUUUGAUGGGAAGAAGGGCUCUGAGGAGCUCCAAGAUACCCCAACCUCCAGGCCCUUCAUUAGGGGGUAGUUGGGUUUCUGUUUGGCCUUUCCCCCUGGGCCCCAUAGGCUUAAACUACCCCCACCCCCACCUCCGCCUCCUACCUCAGCUGGGAGCACUGUCUUCCAUGGGGCUUCCACUUCUCUCCUCAACCUGGGGAAGACCACAGGGCAGUGCCUGCCUCAGGACCUGCCUUCCCCAAAAGCUGGCUUCUUGCUCCAAGGAGAGAGCAUUGACCCACCUGCCAGAGUCUUGCCUUUUGCCCAAAGGAGCCUGGUCUUCAGGGCUGCAUAGGAUGGUCUGUUCCUGGUUUCCCAGAUGCAUAAAGGAAGACAUAUCCCUCCCCUGGGCAGCAAGGCUACAAUGGGAGGGAGGGAGAACAUGGGAGCAUGUGAAUAAAAUGGCAUUAAAUACUGAACCAGGG
rnacentral:lncRNA from 1 species